GUUUUUUUUUUUUUUUUUUUUUUGUUGUUUAUGUUCGUUUGUGUUCGUAUGUUCGUGAACUGUUCGUUUAUGAUUUAAACGAACGACCAUAAACGAACACGAACAUGUAUGAUUUCUUAAUGAACGAACAUGAACAAAAAAAUGUGUUCGAUUAUACGUUCGUGUUCGUGUUCGGUUAAAGUUAAAUGAACGAACACGAACAUGCGGUUCAUUUACAGGUCUAGUUAUAUAUAUUUUAGAGUAAAAUGCUAAAAUGGUCUAUGAGGUUUGUUCACUUUUGUCACUUUAGUCCAAAACUCAAACCUUUUGAAUCUGGGUCCCUGUGGUUUUAACUUUGUUGUCAUUUUCAUCCAAAAGCAAAUUCUGAUCAGAUUUUUCAGUUAACAUCCAGCUUUGAUUUUGUCUUUUUCCUCCCUUUUAAUGAAGGGCAAAAUAGUAUUUUAACGUUUUAUUAUAACAAAUUAAAAAAACAAAAAAAUUAAAAUUGACCUUAUAAAUACAAACGUUUACCUGAUUUCCCCCAAAGACAUGCGAUUAAACCCUAACUGCUCUGUUCCAAAAUACAAACGAUCUAUGGACGAUUACGAUGAUUUUAACUGCUCUGUUUGAUAACAAGGCUCCACUUUUUGAUCCUGAAGUACACCAUGAACAAGAACAAAAUAACCCUGGGAUAACUUUUAGCAUCUUGUUCUCUUGAGCAAUUUUUUUGCUUCUUUUUCAAGAUUCCUGUUCCCAUUUCCUAUAUGGAUUGCAUUCUCUUCAUGUUGAUUGAUGGUGUCCAACAGUUUAGGAAUCAUAACAGCAGGGUUUUGACUCAUCAGUGGCUCAGCCCAACCAAUAAAUUCGCAGCUUUGACCCGGUUUUGGUUUGUUGUGGCGAUGGAAGCGAUGACCGGGGUUUUGUGUUGUCCACGAUGUGCUGAGUUGGGUUGUGGCUCCACAUGUGCAGACCACCAUUGUCGAUCUUCAGUUGCAGGUGGAUGGGGUUUGAAGAAGAGACAAUACUGGAUUAUGGUUUGCUCCUUUACAAAUGGGAUUCGUUAAUUAUAUUUGUUUUUUUCUUUUUCUAAUUAAGUUAAAAUUUUACGUAAAAGACCAUUUUACCCUUCAUUAAAAGGAAGGAAAAAAGACAAAAAAAAAGUUGCAUGUUAAUUGAAAAAUCUGACCAGAUUUUGCUUUUAGAUGAAAAUGAGAAUAAAAUUGAAAAUACAUGGAUCCAAAUUCAAAAAGUUUGAGUUUUGUACUAAAGUGAGAAAAGUGACUAAACCUAAUGAACCAUUUUGGCAGUUUAUUUAAAUUUUAUGACUAGUAACAUGUCCUAUUACAUACAUGUAAUCACCAAUUGUCUAUUAUGUAUUAAUUCAUAACAAAUUGAGGAAUAUUAAACUUUUUGUUUUUUUUUUUUCAUUUUGUCUUUUAUGGAUUUUUUUUUAUUAAACUUUAAUAUUUUUCAUUUUUGUAAUUAAAGAACUUUGGUUUUUUUAUAAUUUUGCGACAAAAGUUAAAUGGGUUUAGUCUUUUUAUAUUAAAUUUUUGUUUUACGCUUUUCACAGGGUUGGCCAUCGUUAGAUUGAUACUUAACAUAUGGUGUUUGAUUGUCACAUUUGAUCUCUUAAGUUUUUUUUAUCCCCUAAAACAUUAAUACAUGUCAGUAUACAUUCAACUUCAUCUAUGUUUUACAUCAUGUGGGUCACUUAGUGUUAAAAGUUCGUGAUUUUGUUUUACAUUUUUUUCCGGUUUUGGUUGUCGUUUGAUUGCUACGUAACAUUGUUUUACGUCUUACACCCUGCAAAGUUGGUAGCACAAUUUUACACCCCUGCCCCACAACGCGAGGGGGUUAAGACUAGUUUCACAUAUUUUAUAACUAGUAAUAAUUUGUUCUAUCACAAUUAUCGCUACAUACUUGGGUUUCAUACAUCUGAUUUUCUCUCCUAAGCAUUAUUAUAUAUAUAAUUGACGAACUUCUUAGUUACAGUGAAAGAUAAAUUGACUUGUUAUUUUUUAUAUAUGAAAUUCUAGAACCCGUAAGCUAACAAAAUGGAAUAUGUAUCCCUGUUAGAUUACCAUAAAACCAAGUUAGUAUAAACUUAACCCAAUCACUUAGGUAUGUACAUUUAAUAUGUGGCGCAUGAUUCACGUAACAUGUGAGAAUUGAUAUCAUUUACGCCUUGUUAGGCUUUUGAAAAAGACAAAUGUGGUUUGGUCAGGGAUCGGCAUGCUUCUACUAACGUUUGGCCGAUUUAUACACACAUAUAUAGGGCUGCAAAUGAACCCAAUGUUCGGCGAACAAUUCGUAAACCGUUCGACGAGAAGUUCGUUUAUUUAAUAAACAAACGAAAACGAACAAGAAAUUUCGUUCGUUUGGUUAAAUGAACGGACAUGAACAGAGAUCGCGUUCGUUCAUUUAUAUUCAUAAACGUUCGGUAACGUGUUCGUUUGUAUUCAAUUGUGUUUUUAGUCUUUAUUUUAUUUUAUUUAAAUAUUUUAAAAAUUCCGACAAACAAAUAUUUAAUAAGUGUCAGUGUAUUAUAUAUCUGUUCAUGAACGUUUGUUUGUAUUCAUGUGUUUCCAUUUUUGUUCAUGAAUAUUAGUUUCUAUUCAUCAACGUUCAUUUUCGUUCGUUCCCUAAAAUUAACAAAAAAAUACAAACGAACAUGAAGAAAAAUCUCAUUCGGUAAGUAUUCAUGAACAGUUCGUGAACACAUAUAUUUCUUAACAAACGAGCACGAAGAAGGUCUUUUUCGUGUUCGUUCGGUUCGUUUGCAGCCCUACAUAUAUAACACGCGACAAUAGAAUAACAUCGAGUUUCCAAAUGCAUUGCACAACUGGCAAAUUAAACAAUCUACAAUUGUUCGGCCAAAUAUGUGUAACCUAACAAUAAAAAUUCAAUUCGACUAACACAACUUCAGGAAUAUGGGAGUCAUCAAUCUUUUUGUUCAAGGUGGGUUUAAAAAAUAGUUAGUUAUUCAUAAUUGUAGAAAAGUCUAUAAACUUAACAUAAAUAUUGGAGGCUGCAUAGGACUAAAAGUGGUAGGUAAAUUCUGUGCACAUGUUACCAGGCAAUGUGCUUCCCACUCUAGGCAUAGGCCUAGAACCACCCAAAAUGAAAGGUCUUCAAAUUUUUUUUGAUGGUUCUUUAUAUACUAGGCCCAUUUUUUAUUUUAUACUAAACAUAAAUAAUAAGCCCAAAGAAAAGGCCUGAAUGUCUAGUGAAAAGAAAAUAAAAGGCCCAAAUCGUCGCACACAAUUCACGAAUCGUCGCCUGAAACAUUGAAAGUCGCUGCUGUCUCGGUCUCCCACACAAUUCACGAAUCGUCGCACAGAGAGAAGAACAUAAUGAACGGCGGCGGCUUUGCAUGUUGGAAGUCACGUUGUUGUCGCCUGAAUCGUCGAUUGGUUACAGACGUGGAUUAUCAGUUCUCGGAACUCAGUGGCAUAGAGUCUCAAACACUCAGAUUCUCGGAACUCGGAAGUCAGUGGCACAGGCCAAAAUCAAAUUUGACUUCAAGUUCAGUGAGUUGUGACUAUUCAAACAAAAUGGUAGAAUAUGGGAAAAGCAGGUACUACCCAUACCAUUCUGAUGGUUUAUCCACCAAACGUUUUUGUAAAUUCGGUUUAAUGUGUAAUUAUUUGUAUUUGUCAAGUCAUCAAAAGUGUUCUAUGUGUUCAUAACUUCGUGGCGUCUCGUGAAAUCAUUGGCCGACGUACAUAGAUGAAUCCAGUAAAAAAAAAUCGUGUUAUAGAUUA